UUGAAAAUAGUGCACACCCACGCUUUAUUGUUGAAUAAUUCAACGGCCCGCCGUCAAUUAUUCCUUACUUAAGACAGCUCAAAUGUUUAUUUUAGGCUUAAGCCUUGUCUGCCAUUUAAGUUUUAAAAGCUACGCCUGUCAAACACAUAAUGCAUUUUUGCUAGACUUGCACUUAGAAAAUACCAAUGACAUCAUAUUGUGACAGCGUUUCUAACAUCUCUGUUGCAGACCUCUGUAAAUGACUGACUCUGGCACUCUGUUGCUGGGCAGAGUGCAUUGUCGUAGUCUCUUAAAGAAAAUGAAAAAAUACUAAUGCUUCACUUUAGCCAUGCACACAAAAGCCAAAGGGAAAAGCGUGAAAGCAAGGCUUUCUAAAGAAAACAUUUGGCAUUGAGAGGAAAGCCAGGCUGACUGUACCCGUGAUAUGUAGUAGUGUAAGGAGAGAGAAAGACGGCUAUGGAUUUUAAUCCAUUCGUCGAUAAAGGUCACUACUCCAAAGGGUUUUAUUUCUCUGCCACACAUCAAAGUGUAAAUCCGCUGAUUGCCGCCGAUGAAUGGGGAGACAACAAGGCUGGGUUUGUGGGUCGUUUCUAUGGCGCAGUGUGUGGGGAGAGGGCCCGUAAUGCGCAGGUUUUCUAUCAGGGGCCCCCAGAUCAAUGGGCUGCCUGACCUUUGCAUUGUGUUCCCGGCUUUGCCCGUGAUGUCAUGCCAUCUAUCCGCCGCUCUUCUUAAAGGGCCGGGAGAAAGGGGGGGCACGGUCCCACACUGUCAUCCCUCCACGAGACUGAAAAGAAAGCAUUAUCUGAAAAUAUUACCACCUGAAACUGCACAAACAACUCAUCUCCACAGAUUAAGAGCAUUGUUUGCUGCAAGAUUCUGCGUGCUGCAAUUUACGCUGACGUCGUAAUCUGCGUUGAAGGUCGCCGUGUGUUUAGAUGUGGAAUAUCAAAAUAUUACACCCUAAUGAUAUGACAAGCAUUGAGAUAUUAAGAUGCAAAGUAUGGGUUUGAAAGCGCCUCGGCACAAGUCGUUAAUCAAAUAAGGCCAAUGGCCUUUUUAAGAUGUUUGUCAGGGAUUGAUCUGCCUUUUGAGUUAAUAUACGCCGGAGCAGAACUUAAGAGGAUAAAAGGGGCGAGCUUCUUAUUGUUCAGCGCUGAAAGCUCCUCUUUGUAGUAGAGAGGGCCGAUGGCAGCUGGUAGGGUCCUCUCCGUUCAUUGAAGAUAGAGAACUUUCUCAGAGUAGCCAAGUGCAUUGGAAUGGAAAUCUAAAGAGUUUCAGACAUAAUCGGGGGGAUCCGGGCAGUGGCGCUGUAAAGGAAAAGACUCGCCUGAGCCAUCUACGCUUCUCGGCAAUAGCGACAGAUGUUGUAAUUGCCAACUGAUGGAUGGGCCGUGGAGGAGGUCAUUACGGCCGGAGAUCCAGGCUGCCGGCCGACGGUGAUGACUCGGAAAAGGAGGAACGGGCCUCUGCCACGGCUGGACGGCCGGACGUUCUCUGGAAGCUGAGAGAUUGAUAAUGGCAUCGGGUGUAUGUCAAGAAAGUUGCCGCACCUCUGAGGUGGUAAUUGAAAUGACAUGGAGACGCUUGGCAUCUUCUCUAACGGAGGGGCGUCGUAUCCAGCGUGGCACCGCGGCAGGUUUCGCCCUCCCGUAUCCAGUCGCGGCUAACCGAGGGCGAUACGUGCAGAGGACACAAUGCACAAUUCCCCCCGCGGCAAUCUCUCCCACGCCUUCACAUCGCUCUUUUUAUUUCCCGCUAUGACACUCUGACAACACUGUACAAUCAAUUAAGCGCUCUGAAACAGGCUUCUGAUCCGCGUUCAAGGCGACGCCAGCGACUCCUCUUUCGUCCCUAACAGGGGUUAAACUCAACCAUCACCCGGUAGCCCAUCAGCUCAGAUCACAAAGCGAGAUGCAUUGCAGCUCUAAUUACAUGCGUACGGGUCUUGAAAAUCCAAUUAUGUUUGCACUUCUAAUCACAUAGCCUAAUUGUACAAAGUAAAUAAAUCAAGGCUGUCCCUCGCCACUGCAAUGGGAUCACCGUACUAAUAGCGACGUAUUAAUCACCUUGAUCACAUCAAUAGCAGGCAGGUAGAGUUCAGCCGCUUUCCUCAUUUGAAUAAUUAACAUCUUAAAACUGUUUCUCCGUUUCCCUCUACAUAAUGCCGCAUUUAAUUGCCAGUUUAUUUAUGUGCCGAAGUCGAAGCCAUGCAUAAUUUAUCAGAGAGUUUUACACGUUUAUGAAAUUGUCUCGCCGAAUUACAAAUGUUACGUUUAUUUAGGAUUAAAUUUUAAUGGCUCUCGCAAUAGCGGAGAUCGUCGUCAAAAUUGAUUUGGAUAAUUGUGUCCUCCAGCUACGGCGCGCCGACGGAAGCCUGAUUUUUCUCGAACCCGUAGACGCGAAACGCCGAACCAAUUAACCUCUUCAUAAGAAACUCUCUAAGUAUGUGCUUUUCCAGCCGUUGUUUGCAACCUCACGCUAAUGGUUAUCCAAGCCAGUGAGGAGAUCAUGAUGGUGACUGGUGCUUGUUAAUACACUAGUUUUCAAUUGGUGGGUCGUGACCCCAAAAUGGAUGGCAGGGCAGCUGGGAAUAAACAAUGCUAAAUGUAAAUAUUGACAUGAAACUAAGCUUAUAAUGGUGCAUUGUUGGGAUAGCAUAACCAGUAGACUUACAGCAUCAAAAAACGGUAAGUUAACAUGUUUUUAUUGACAUUAAAGUCUCUACCGUGUUAAAUUUGACAGAUGCUUACAUGGAAAGCUUGUAUGAAUUGUCCUGAACCUCAAAAACCAUGAACAAAAUUAGUUUAGUUGCUUCCACCUGAAACAAACGAUUUUAUGCUAACCGCAAUGUGUUUUGUUUGGUGCAGUCUAAUCCAGUUACAAAAACACUGUAUGUUCGGAUUUUAGGUUAAAAUAAACAGCUACAUCUGGGUGGGAUAAAGCCACUGGUUUGAGUUUGUUGUACCACAGUCCUAAAGUAGAUUAUUGAUUUCUAUGUAAGAUAUAGGAGGAAUUCUCAGCGUGUAUUUAAGACACAGAUGAAGCGAUGGAAACAUACAUGUAGAGGUGAAGAAGGGGGCAGAGCAGCUCCGCCCGCCCGCAGAGUUUGGCAUGUGCCCUGCGAGUACACCCCGUUGAUUGUGGGUCAAAGUAAAUAACUAGGGCUGAAUGUACGGCCCCCUCUCCUUUCUCUCUCAUGGGGCUCAUUUCAAUGCCCCGCCUCCUGCGCAAGCCCCUCCCACCUCUAGACAGCCACUUUAUUUAACCGGCGUUCCUUUUUUAAUGGUUCUUAAGUCCAUAGUAAAAGAUUUUUGAACAGAUAUUAGCCAUGGUUGGGGUCCAUAUGUAUUCUUGCCCCAGCUACAUAUACAGAUCUAACUGAUUAUGAUAUGAAAAGUAAGAGGUAAGCCAUAAAAAUCCCCAAAAAAUGGAGGCGAUGAUGGACAAAGCAGCUAUACUUCCCACAUAUGUUUGGGAGGCGGCAAAAAUUUUACGGACAAUAAAAAAUCAACGGGUAUCGAUGGUCCUCGCUGGGAAGAGCAGAAAAAAACACAUGAUUUGCGAUAGCAAAGUCAAGCGGUGCAACAAUUUUAAAAAGUGCCCAUAUAUAGUAUUUCAUAAAGUCUUGUUGUGUAUACCUAGAUUUAAAAUACUAUUUUGUCUACAACAAUUAUUAGCAUACAGUUUUUUUCCGUUAAAUAAAAUAGAAAUAAAAGUAGAAAACUGAACAGAAAGUAUACAUUUAUGCUAAAAAUACAGUAAAAAUAAUUUUUGUACUCUAUCUGAUGGUCUAAAUGGGAUGAAAUCUCAACAAAACUUCAAAUAUCAAAACUAAACUAUAAAUAAUUUUAACUUAACGUGAGGACUCAUUAAUAACUUUUAAAAUUAUAUAGGAUAUGGAGGGCAUCCGUGCCCCUUUACUAAACCUCGUUCCCCUAGAUCAUACAGCAAAUAUCAAUUAAACUCCAGUGAAAAACAUGUGCAUCUGUGUAUUUCUUUCCUCCGUACAGACAUACACACACACACGGACACACUAAUGGCUACCCAGCGAGAGGUAGGGAUAGCGUUCCUCUUCCUCUGCAACCCCUUGGCCUCCCGCUGGAGGAAUUCCCAGCCCUCUCCGCAGGUAGCCAGCCACAGCCGAGCCAGAGAACAUGUGUUUUCCUCCCCUGGUUGGGUCAACGUGGGGUUGUUCAUUCAGUGCCGGUGAUAUAGUGGCUGAAACGCAGCGCUGAUCUGAAGUCUGGCCCGCGGAGGAUCGGCUCAUUCGAGUUAGGCCUCUCCACGCAUGAUGGAUUCCACUGGCGCAUGAGAGCAGAUCCAGCCAACAGACCUCUGACGGGCCGGACGCCUCCUCCCAUUGACUGUGCAACUCAAUCAGUGACACAUGCCAACUUCUGAACUCCAAUACAAUGUUGUUGCUCGUUUUUUCUACGUCGACUUCUUUCUCCAAAGGGUUGUGAACUUUAACCGCAAAGUUAUGAAUUUUGGAUUCGAAGCAACAGUAGGACGUUGAGAUCUUACGAAGAGGAUAAACAGACACUUGAUAUUCCUGUUUACAUUUUCACCCCGAACGAGGGAAAUUGCCUCUUUCCAUACGGCAUUUUGAGUUUGUUUAAGGGGAAAACACAUUUUUACUCUGUAAUGUAAAGACAGGCUUGAUCCAAACAGCACUUGAAGUCAUUCCUGUCAUGCUGUUGCUAUUGCUUCUGUUGUGGUUUUCAACCAAAAUUGGUUUGAAUCCAAAUAUUUAUUCAGUAUUUGUGAAACAAAGUAAUACAAUCUCAAAAGGAUCUCUGGAAACUGGAUAAUAUUGGUGAAAUGGAAUCAGAUUUUGUUAUAGUACAUCAGGGCUGGGCGAUCCAAGAAAAAACGAUAACAUUCUUAAAAAUUUGAGUAACAAUAAUAUUUCAACCCAAUAUACCUAUUUAUAUAGAAAAGUAUUUUUAAAAUUAUAGAAAAAUCUCUUUGACUAAAAGCCACGUCCAAAGUUAAUCUAAUCCUUUCAUAUUUAAGAAACAUGCAAUAGCUUAAGGUUGACUGUAAUAAAUAUUUUAUUAUCUUUUAUAAAUGAUUUAUAAAUCUAAAGCAAACAUCUUUAAAAAUCAACUUUUAUGGCCUUCCAUUUUACAUAAUAAUAAUAAUGUUUUCUGGUAACAUUUUUAAAUGUACAUUUUGUGCAAAUUCACUCUCUGACCUUUUAUUCUCCAUACUGUAACUAUACUUAGGCUCUUUUUAACAGUUAUGUUAUCUCGAUUAUAACAAUUAUAAUUAUGUAUUUUUCAAGAGCCCUAUAGGGAGACCAUGGACCCCCAUAACAUUAUCUAUAGAACGAAAACGAGUUUUACAUUUGAAAUAUGUAUUCACAUACUUUCUUAUUAUUUGAUGAAGAACACGUGCAUUACACUGCAUUUCAAUGUGUUUACAUUCGUUAAACAGUAACCUAUUAUUGAUUUUAAUUAAAUGCAUAUUUUCACAAUUUUUUCCUCAAAAUUAAUUUUAUAUCAAAUAAUGAUUGGUGAACCCCCUGCCGCACCCCAGUGGACCCCCUAGAGGGUUACGGAUCCCCAGUUGAAGACCCCUGGUCUCAAUAUUCAGCUUGGUUUUAUUGUUAAUACAUAGUAUUAAUAUGUAACUUUCAAAAGCACAAAACAUAUUUUUUGUAUGUUUAAAUAGAUGCUUAAGCAUACAAUGUAGACACAUUUGCAUAAUGUAUUUGACGUACUUGCAUGACAUAAUGUAUUUAACCAUUUUAUCGAUAAUGUUACCACCCUACCCCAAACCUUACUCUAAACCCAAACCAGUUUUAUACCAAAAUGUUAAAAAUAUAAUGUAUUCGUUAUAUAUUAUGCAACGUAAUACACAGAAAU